rnacentral:misc_RNA from 1 species
AAAGUCGUAACAAGGUUUCCGUAGGUGAACCUGCGGAAGGAUCAUUACUAAAGUAAAAACUACUUACCCCAACCGUGAACUGUUUGAACCUCCCUCGACUAACUUCACAGUUAGUUGUCGGAGUCAAUCGUUUUACUUACCCUGCCUAAACUUGAGACUACUAGUUGAUUUUGUAAACAACUAAAACUUUCAGCAACGGAUCUCUAGGCUCUU